rnacentral:sRNA from 1 species
GCCAGGCGUGGUGACGCACGGCUGUCAUCCCAGCGGCUCAGGAGGCUGAGGCAGGAGGAUCUCGAGCUCAAAGCCAGCCUCGGCGACUUAGUGAGACCCUGUCUCUA